CCCCUCUCAGGGUCUCACCUGGGGAGUUUCCAGUACUCUACCAGUCUCGGUUAUAGGAGGGAGAGCCGAGCAGAAGCAUAUCCAUUCCAUUCCUAGCUUGGGCAGUGGCUAGCGAGUGAAAGGCAAUCUCCUACAAGC